rnacentral:lncRNA from 1 species
GAAGUUUUCUCCUCCUGUCCUGUAACUGGUUUUCACUCACUCAACUGAGAGAUUUCUUUGUUGCAAUGAUGGGGUCUAAGAUAACACUUCUGGAGGCUGCAGGCGAGAAACACAGCUGAUAUCAUCUUUUAUUGUGUGUUGUUAUUUGCCUAGCAUUAUAAAUUAAGGAGGAAAAGUAACAAAGAGCUUGAAGACAUGCACAGCUCACAGGCCCCGGGUGGAGGCUGGCGACAUCAGACAGACAGAACCAAGACAUCUGAGGGGCAACCAGGAGGUGCGUGUGGCUGCAGAGCACACAGACUUGUCUUUGGACAAAAUUGAGAAGAACUCAUAAACUUGGCUUCCUCACUUCUGCUUCUCAGAUGCGCGUGGAUGAUUUGAAGAUAUUAGCCUAACAAGAUGGAAGCAGGUUUAAAAUUUUACAUAAGAAGUUACCUUUUUCAGUUGUGUUGAUGUUCCUUUCAGCUGGUCCUAUAGUACCCCUCCUCAGGAAUGUCUCCCCAGUGCAAGGACAAAGACUGAAGAGACUGCUAUAUUGAUGGACUCUCAAGCCAAC